AUUGAACGCUGGCGGCAGGCCUAACACAUGCAAGUCGAACGAGUGGCGGACGGGUGAGUAAUGUCUGGGAAACUGCCCGAUGGAGGGGGAUAACUACUGGAAACGGUAGCUAAUACCGCAUACCAUCGGAUGUGCCCAGAUGGGAUUAGCUAGUAGGUGGGGUAACGGCUCACCUAGGCGACGAUCCCUAGCUGGUCUGAGAGGAUGACCAGCAACCCGGUAACUGGGUCACGGUCCUGACUCCUACGGAAGGCAGUAGUGGGGAACAUUGCACAAUGGGCGCAAGCCUGAUGCAGCCAUGCCGCGUGUAUGAAGAAGGCCUUCGGGUUGUUAAGUACUUUCAGCGGGUAGGCGUUACUCGCAGAAGAAGCACCGGCUAACUCCGUGCCAGCAGCCUCGGUAAUCC
rnacentral:rRNA from 1 species